rnacentral:other from 1 species
UAACAUCUGGAAUGUUGGUUGCCUUUUAAAAAAAUACCACUGAUUUUUUUAUGGGAAGAUGCGUUCUAAUGCGUAUGACAGGCUGCCAUUGAGUAGAAGUCAGAAACAAUAGAUAGUCCACCCACCUACUAGGGUGUGGUGUGAGAUUUUUGGGGUGACGGCAUUCUGGAUCCCAU